CGUGAUUGGCCAAUCAGAUGACCGGGGUACGUCUCUUCUCCGUGCCCCAUCUCUGUUCAGGUUCCAUUCCUGUUCCGCCUUGGAUCAGGUUACCGGGGAGCGGUGCUUUUUUCCCUUUCAGCCAAUGAGAGGGCUGCAAGGGAGCAUUUCGAAAAAGCCAGGUACAAAGGGAAAGAUGGGCAUGGUGCUGCUGGGACAACUUACCUUAAGUCAGACUGUGAGUCACAGCCUGCCUGUUGAAGACCAUUUAACAGGUGCCUGUACACAUCUACAUUUUACUUUUUACAGUGGAAUCUACACAACGUCAUCAUUCAACUGUUCUUCUCUCUUUUCCCUCUAUUUCUUCAAUUUCUUCUUAGACUACAACAUUUUGUUUAAAAAAAAUUAGAACAC